rnacentral:lncRNA from 1 species
UGACAUUUAGCCGCUUCUGCUAUCAGCGUCAUCUCCAAUGUGCAGCAUGAGGAACCUAACAGGUGAUGGAACUGGACCUCCACAUCUGGGCCUAGUUGUUGGCCUUCUCUUCUGCUUUGGGGUCCUGCCUUCAGCGAUGAGACUUUCAAAGACGACAUUGUUUCCUGGACAGUAAUGGUUUUCACAGUUCUUUGAUUUCCUUGAACACCCCGAAGAAGCAGGAGACCUUGUAAUUCCACGUGCCUCAUUAUUUCUGCAGACAUACCUGGAGAGCCGAGCUUUCCCACUGAGCUCUAGACUUAGCUUUUAAUUUUUCAAGCUAUUUGAAAGUCUAAAUAAACUUCCCCUCUGCGAGCGUCUCUUUCAUCAACUUCCACGACUCACUUCUUAACACGAAGAUGCUAAUAUUCGAAAAUGAUUAUACGAAUGAGUGAACGAAUUCGCUUUGCUUUUGGCUCCGGCACUGUAUUUGAUGUGAAAGCAACUGCAUCCAAUUCUUUUUCCACCUCAGUUGUGAAAUUAAGAUGCCCUGAAACCAGAUACUGUGGGCUCCCCAGAGCACCCUUGGGAUCAGUGCUUAGCCAUGCCUUGGAUACAGUCCCACUGGGCUAUAA